GCCUCGGUGGUGUACUGGAAAGCACGGCAGACCGGAUAUCUGUAAGUGCGGGUACGAGUCCCGCCUGAGGUU
rnacentral:tRNA from 1 species